UAGGGAAUCUUCGGCAAUGGGGGGAACCCUGACCGAGCAACGCCGCGUGAGUGAAGAAGGUUUUCGGAUCGUAAAGCUCUGUUGUUAAGGAAGAACGAGUGUGAGAAUGGAAAGUUCAUACUGUGACGGUACUUAACCAGAAAGGGCCGGCUAACUACGUGCCAGCAGCCGCGGUAAUACGUAGGUCCCGAGCGUUGUCCGGAUUUAUUGGGCGUAAAGCGAGCGCAGGCGGUCAAUUAAGUCUGAUGUGAAAGCCCCCGGCUCAACCGGGGAGGGUCAUUGGUAACUGGUUGACUUGAGUGCAGAAGAGGAGAGUGGAAUUCCAUGUGUAGCGGUGAAAUGCGUAGAUAUAUGGAGGAACACCAGUGGCGAAGGCGACUCUCUGGUCUGUAACUGACGCUGAGGCUCGAAAGCGUGGGUAGCAAACAGG
rnacentral:rRNA from 1 species